UGAUGGCCACACACGAGUGCACGGCUCGCAGACCGAACGAUCCUUUUGCCUGCCUUCCAUGGCGCUCGCGCCCUCCGGCUCUGUCGCUCCCAUCUACGCCGGCUGGGCGCCACCCCGCCUGCGACAGCUGCCCACCACCCCGGCUCGUGCAAACGUGUCGCUCUAUUACCUACGGCACCGUGGCAGUUGCCGUGGUAGUGAUGGUGGCGGGGCGCGCAACGCCGACCUCCGCUGCCGCCGGCGGCUCCUCACGGCGCGAGGCGAGCGCCCCGACGAGGAGGAGGAGGAGGAUGACGAGGACCCGUCGGCGGGGCCUGGUGGUGGGUUCGACGCGGCGGUGGCGCUGUUCAACCGCGGCGAGUUCCACGCGUGCCACGACGUGGUGGAGGAGCUCUGGUACGACGCCGAGGACCCCGCGCGGACGCUCCUCCACGGCAUCCUCCAGUGCGCCGUCGGAUUCCACCACCUCUUCAACCAGAACCACCGCGGCGCGAUGAUGGAGCUCGGUGAGGGCCUCUGCAAGCUCCGCAAGCUCAACCUCGGCGGCGGCGACGACGACGACCCAUUCUCCCGCUUCCGGGACGACGUCGCCGCCGUCCUGCAAUUCCUCUACCGAACCCAAAAGGAGCUCGCAGCAUGCACCGAUGACCUCUGCUUGACCAUGGACGGCUCGCCGAGCUCAUACCAACUGCUCGGCAACUUCGCCGCCGGCCAGCAGCUGUACCGGUUGGAAGCUGAUGAUACACACGACGACGGUGCUUCCAGCAUCAUCUUCUCUGUAUCUGAUCAUCCCGCCUCACAAUCAGCUCCGUCCAGGGUGAAGCUUCCGACAUUAGAUGCCACGGAGCAAAAUCUGACAGACCUUCAACGUGCAUAUCAAUAUAUCUAGCCUAGCAUCAUCUUCUCUGUGCUCUUACUUUGAAGUGGAGAAUUGUACCCCAGAUUGCUCGAGCAGAGGCUGAACGUGCCAUUCAACUUAGACAACAACUGGGUGGUGCCCUUGCCACAAGUGGCACACAAUCUAUUUCUAGUCCUCUCAUGAUUACUCCACCAGAGCACACAGCUGCUCUGAUGCAGG